rnacentral:rRNA from 1 species
UACGUAGGGACCAAGCGUUGUUCGGAUUUACUGGGCGUAAAGGGCGCGUAGGCGGCAAUUCAAGCCAUCUGUGAAAUCUCCGGGCUUAACUCGGAAUGGUCAGGUGAUACUGCUUUGCUAGAGUGCAGAAGGGGCAAUCGGAAUUCUUGGUGUAGCGGUGAAAUGCGUAGAUAUCAAGAGGAACACCUGAGGUGAAGACGGGUUGCUGGGCUGACACUGACGCUGAGGCGCGAAAGCUAGGGGAGCAAACGGG